GGACUAUUUACUCUAAGCGGAGGCCUGGUGCGUGUGGGUCAGGUGCCAAGAAGUGAGUGAGCUGGCCAUCGGAAUGCUGCCCCCUGGAAUGACUCCAGCCCUCGCUGCACAAGUGCUAGAUGUUUGUUCCUGGGGGUCCUUUGACUGCACAAAGGAGAAGCUCCUCUGGGUGGUGGCAACCACCUCAGCCUCAUGGGUGGUGAUGUCUUUGAAUAGAAUUUGGAGGAAGAUGGUGCUGGGAAGACCGGGGCAGUCUGAGCUGCGCAGAUCAUCAAUGCCGUAUCAUCUGCUAAUGGUUGCAGAAAAAAGGUCAUGGAACUGUAACCUUACAAAAUAGCCUGAAUUACCAAGAAGACCACGCCUUGGGCGCUUAUGAGAUAAAGAGAUGGAAAAAGUGAUAACCGCUGGCCUCUAUAGAACCUGUCGUCAAGAUGCCACUCUAAGUCUUAGGACAAGAAAAUGAUCCUGUUGAUUGUUAUCCAUGUUUUACUGUUUGAGCUAUGGCUGUAUAACCACUGCGGGGACCCCAUCCCCACAGUGGGUCCACAGUUUUGAAGGCACUAGCCUGUUGUGAGUCCCCUUUGCUCAGCCAAGUAAUAAAGCUGCCUCUUUCCUUCU